rnacentral:rRNA from 12 species
CCCAAACCGACACAGGUGGUCAGGUAGAGAAUACCAAGGCGCUUGAGAGAACUCGGGUAAAGGAACUAGGCAAAAUGGUGCCGUAACUUCGGGAGAAGGCACGCUGGUGGUAGGUGAGACCCCUUGCGGGUGGAGCUGACGCCAGUCGAAGAUACCAGGCCCCUGCGACUGUUUAUUAAAAACACAGCACUGUGCAAACACGAAAGUGGACGUAUACGGUGUGACGCCUGCCCGGUGCCGGAAGGUUAAUUGAUGGGGUUAGCAUUCGUGCGAAGCUCUUGAUCGAAGCCCCGGUAAACGGCGGCCGUAACAAUAACGGUCCUAAGGUAGCGAAAUUCCUUGUCGGGUAAGUUCCGACCUGCACGAAUGGCGUAAUGAUGGGGGCACUGUCUCCACCCGAGACUCAGUGAAAUCGAAAUCGCAGUGAAGAUGCUGUGUACCCGCGGCUAGACGGAAAGACCCCGUGAACCUUUACUAUAGCUUCACAGUGGACUUUGAGCCUGCUUGUGUAGGAUAGCUGGGAGACAUUGAAGCGGUGACGCCAGUCAUCGUGGAGUCGUCCUUGAAAUACCAGCCUGGCAUGUUCGAGGUUCUAACCCAGGCCCGUUAUCCGGGUCGGGGACAUUGUGUGGUGGGUAGUUUGACUGGGGCGGUCUCCUCCCAAAGAGUAACGGAGGAGCACAAAGGUACCCUCAGCACGGUCGGACAUCGUGCAAUGAGCGUAAAGGUAGAAGGGUGCUUGACUGCGAGACCCACAAGUCGAGCAGGUGCGAAAGCAGGUCUUAGUGAUCCGGUGGUUCUGUAUGGAAGGGCCAUCGCUCAACGGAUAAAAGGUACUCCGGGGAUAACAGGCUGAUACCGCCCAAGAGUUCACAUCGACGGCGGUGUUUGGCACCUCGAUGUCGGCUCAUCACAUCCUGGGGCUGAAGCCGGUCCCAAGGGUAUGGCUGUUCGCCAUUUAAAGAGGUACGCGAGCUGGGUUUAGA